rnacentral:pre_miRNA from 1 species
UAGGGUUGGAACGCGUUGGCAGUGUGGUUAGCUGGUUGUUUGUAAUGUGACAACAGCCACUAACGGCACUGCUUCUGCGUUCACCCUCAG